CCUCGCUGUGUCAAUCACUCAUCGGUACCACGCAGGAGAGUGUAGCUCUCUACGUGUUUCAUGCUAUGCGUUUAUUGAAUUAUUGAUAUCCUUCUCACAUAAGGAGGUAAUGUUCAGGUAAUCUUGGGACUGCUACCUGACGUACACCCGGAAAGCAACAGAUUUCGAAUAAAGUACGAGGCAUUAAGUGCACGACCAUGAAUCCAACUAGUGUUCUCUUUUUGGCUGGCGUUUUGAUCUUAGGAUCUUUGGACUUGUCCCAUGGGAAUCUUUCGUGUUACACGGGUAUUUCCAAGGCCAGGGUUGAGAACAAGUGCGACGAUCCUCAGAUUGUCAAUUGUAUCACAAGAACAACCAAAGUGGGAGGGAUCACCCAACAUGAGUGUGGAAGUCGUCAGCUGAGAGAACCCGGAUGUGUCGAAGACACAACUCAUACCACUUGCUAUUGUGACACCGACUUGUGCAAUGGCGUUGUGGGACUUGCAAGUCAGGGCACCAUUUUCUUGGUCUGUGGCGUGAUGAUAUUCAAUUUGUUCAAUGAUUUUUGAAAAUAAAGAAUUAAUCUCCCGUUUCACCCACAAACUGCCCAUGGAGGCUAGUACGUCAAGAUUUAAGUUAUUUGAAGGGCCGGUCCAGAUGUUCGGACCAGAAUGUCGUAGCAGUCACAGAUGGCCUUUUGUGACUAAUAUUCCGGAAUCAUUGUUGGCCGUGGAAAAACAAAGUCUUGUCAGAACACUUGCGUUUGGUCAUUGGGAUAGUGUGCCAAGCCGCGAAGUGCUUUGUGCUAAGUGUCCUCAAGUAGAAUUUCAGGAAGUUGAAGUAUGUGGCGGACCAGAGUCAUUUUGACCUUUUCGCUUUUAGCACUUUCUGUUUGGGGCAAUGAGGUGAAUAAUGAAGUGGACGAUUCUCCGUCGGUUAACGAGACCCUGGUGGAAAGUCCUGGAAUAUCUUGCUAUAACGGAGUGGGACUAUUCAAGUUCAAAACGGAAUGCUCCCCUGGAACGACAGCUUGUGCAUAUGUUAAGACCCCCAUCUCUUGGAGCUACAUCUGUGGGGGGAAUGAGACCAUGGAUGGUUGCUAUAACGUGACCCAUGUGGACGUGAAGGUGUCAGAUUCUGGUCGAUUUGAAACGUGCUAUUGUACAACAGGGGACAAUUGCAACCCAGCUAUUCAUUAUGGACCCAAUUGGCACUUAUUCUUUGUACUAGUUGGAUUAAUAUGCCUCAAGUCUUUUUUCUUGUAAUUCAUCUCUUCUUCAAGUUUAUAAUAAAACCUGGUUCUAAUGACUAUUA